UGCUUCUCUUGAGAGCGGCGGACGGGUGAGUAAUGCCUAGGAAUCUGCCUGGUAGUGGGGGAUAACGUCCGGAAACGGACGCUAAUACCGCAUACGUCCUACGGGAGAAAGCAGGGGACCUUCGGGCCUUGCGCUAUCAGAUGAGCCUAGGUCGGAUUAGCUAGUUGGUGGGGUAAUGGCUCACCAAGGCGACGAUCCGUAACUGGUCUGAGAGGAUGAUCAGUCACACUGGAACUGAGACACGGUCCAGACUCCUACGGGAGGCAGCAGUGGGGAAUAUUGGACAAUGGGCGAAAGCCUGAUCCAGCCAUGCCGCGUGUGUGAAGAAGGUCUUCGGAUUGUAAAGCACUUUAAGUUGGGAGGAAGGGCAGUAAAUUAAUACUUUGCUGUUUUGACGUUACCGACAGAAUAAGCACCGGCUAACUCUGUGCCAGCAGCCGCGGUAAUACAGAGGGUGCAAGCGUUAAUCGGAAUUACUGGGCGUAAAGCGCGCGUAGGUGGUUCGUUAAGUUGGAUGUGAAAUCCCCGGGCUCAACCUGGGAACUGCAUUCAAAACUGACGAGCUAGAGUAUGGUAGAGGGUGGUGGAAUUUCCUGUGUAGCGGUGAAAUGCGUAGAUAUAGGAAGGAACACCAGUGGCGA
rnacentral:rRNA from 1 species